rnacentral:rRNA from 1 species
GACGAACGCUGGCGGCGUGCUUAACACAUGCAAGUCGAACGGAAAGGCCCUGCUUUUGUGGGGUGCUCGAGUGGCGAACGGGUGAGUAACACGUGAGUAACCUGCCCUUGACUUUGGGAUAACGUCAGGAAACUGGGGCUAAUACCGGAUAGGAGCUCCUGCUGCAUGGUGGGGGUUGGAAAGUUUCGGCGGUUGGGGAUGGACUCGCGGCUUAUCAGCUUGUUGGUGGGGUAGUGGCUUACCAAGGCUUUGACGGGUAGCCGGCCUGAGAGGGUGACCGGCAACAUUGGGACUGAGAUACGGCCCAGACUCCUACGGGAGGCAGCAGUGGGGAAUAUUGCACAAUGGGCGGAAGCCUGAUGCAGCAACGCCGCGUGCGGGAUGACGGCCUUCGGGUUGUAAACCGCUUUCGCCUGUGACGAAGCGUGAGUGACGGUAAUGGGUAAAGAAGCACCGGCUAACUACGUG